UAAAUUUAUUUCAGGUGCAGAACGAUACCUUGAGCGAUGAGAAUGAAAAUGUAGUAGAUGAUUUGGAUGAUCAUUUCGGAGAGGAUGAAGAAGGAGAAGGUAUCAUCCUGCAACCAUAGUUUCAAUGGGUAGGGAGUGACUGAGAUUAUGAAUACGAAGAGGAUGCAUAGGCAACCAGAGCAUGUCAUGACUUUCUUGCUGGCUGAAUUGGGGACAAGAGUAUCCCUUGAUGGGCUACAAAGAUUGGUUGUGAAGGGUAGAUUUGCGCGUAAAAAUUUUGAGGGAAUCUUGCAGAGAUAUGGCAGUAAGUUCCAUCUCUAUGCUACCUGACAAUAGGAGUAACUAAAAUGACUGCCUAAAGGUCGCAAUAGUAUGGAGAAGUGGACUCCUUGCUUGCUUGUAACUAAGAUGACUGCCUAAAGGGGCUAAAAACUGAUUGACAUUGACUGUAUUUAAUUAUUUCCAAUUAAGCACAUUCCUGUUUGAGUUCUUUGGAUCCUUGUGUUCCUGUGGUGGUUAUAUUUUCCGCGUUUUGUGC